GUGCGAGACCGAUAGCGAACAAGUACCGUGAGGGAAAGAUGAAAAGAACUUUGAAAAGAGAGUUAAAGAGUACCUGAAACUGCUGAAAGGGAACCGAAUCGUUUCCAGUGUCUAUAAUCUGCGGCAUAUUUCAUUGGCGAGUAGAUGUGUGUGGCGUUUUGUAAGUAGUUUUCUGCUGCUGGCGUUGCUUUGCGUUUGCUUGUUGGUGCCCUGUGCUGUGGUGGGACGUCAGAGUCAGUUCGUAUACUGCGGGAAAUGGUUGCUGGGGAGGUAGGUCGCUUCGGUGGCUAUUAUAUCCUGGUGACUAGUCGUCGUGGUUGGGACUGAGGUGCCUAC
rnacentral:rRNA from 2 species